rnacentral:misc_RNA from 1 species
CGCUGCUAAGUUGGUUUCCAGUUAGGUAGGAAUUGUGACCAGUAUAUAUGAAAUAGUGGGAUAAUGGUUUUGUCAUAUCGUGGUGAACCUGGUUUUCUCGAAUAGGAGGAUUGAGACCUGCAGAGAACAAAUAAUGGUGAAAAUCGUCAAGAGUGAGGGCGUGCCUGGUCAACUUGGCAAUGUGAAGCCUCUUGUUCAAAAUCUGCUCCACGAUCUUCUCAGCGUCGGCGG